rnacentral:rRNA from 1 species
UAGUGAGUUUGUAUCCUGGCUCAGGAUGAACGCUGGCGGUCUGCUUAACACAUGCAAGUCGAACGGCUCUUCGGAGCAGUGGCGGACGGGUGAGUAACGCGUGAGAAUCGUGCCUUCUGGUCGGGGACAACCACUGGAAACGGUGGCUAAUACCGGAUAUGGCCUAUGGGUGAAAGAUUAAUUGCCAGAAGAAGAGCUCGCGUCUGAUUAGCUAGUUGGAGAGGUAAAGGCUCACCAAGGCAUCGAUCAGUAGCUGGUCUGAGAGGAUGAUCAGCCACACGUGGGACUGAGA